GAAGGUAUAGUUCGGUGGUAGAGCACGUGCUUAGCAUGCAGGAGGUCCUGGGUUUAAUCCUCAGUACCUCCA
rnacentral:tRNA from 1 species